ACACAUACCUGGUGCCGGGACCUCCGUGAUCGCGAAGGCGGAGGCCCCAGGAGGGGGCCCUUCCACUGCAUUCCGGAAGGGCUGAGACCUGCCACUCUCUCAAAUUGGGAAAGAUGGGGCAUGUAAUUUUUGGUAGUGGGGGUUGCGCCGACGCAGACCCCCA
rnacentral:snRNA from 1 species